rnacentral:misc_RNA from 1 species
GCAUUUUUAGGAUAGAGCUAGAGCCUUUCUUUUCUAGUUGACGGUUUUCUCCUAAGUCUAAAAGGAGAUUGAGAGGCGUAAUUUCAACAAGCCGUUGCUGUUUGCUGGGUAAGUUCUACCGCGCCAUUUUCCUAGUCACGAAAGUGGUACUGAUUGUGAAGAAAACGAGAGGUCAAGAGCUAUUUGGGUUUAAGUAAAGAUAGUCA